AACAACCACAUGUAACUUACCAAACACUUGUCUAUGUAACUGUACUUCCUCUCUCAUUCCCUCUUAUAGUACAAUCCAAAACUUGCAUAAAUAACCCACCAUGAGUCGAGAAUACCUAUCAGUCAUUGCCGCUGGGUGAGGGAUGGUUUUUCAAGACUUAAAAUAACCAAGAAAUAGCUGCCUGGAACUCACACAAAAACCAAUACUCUCAUUUAUACUUCUCAUUCUCUCUUAUAACAAAAUCUAAAACAUACAUAAAUAACCCAGCAUGAGUCGAGAAUAUCCAUCAGUCACUGCCGCAGAAAAUAACAGGGUAUGGGAUGGGUCUUGAAGGUCACCCAGUCAGUCAGUGUGGCCAGCAGAUGUCAGGUUCCCAAGGGGUGUAAUUUGGCCCGACAUGCUAAGUGGAGACAUUCAGAAUUCACGGGGAAGUUGGGAGGAAUAUUAGGUGUUGACGGGAUGGUGGCGUGAGUGUUGUGUUGUGUUUUGAGUCAUUUUUCUGAGGUUUGUUGUUAAAGAAGGGAUGUUAGGGAUGUAUUUAGGCAUAGAAUAGGUGUUAAUAGUUUGAGGAAUGGAAGGAAUGGAUAAAAUUUGAAGGGAUGUUGUUAGUUGUGUUGUGUUUUGAAGCAUUUUUCUGAGGUUUGUUGUUAAAGAAGGGAUGUUAUGGGUGUAUUUAGGCAUAGAAUAGGUGUUAAUAGUUUGAGGAAUGGAAGGAAUGGAUAAAAUUUGAAGGGAUGGUGUUAGUAGUGUUGUGUUUUGAGUCAUUUUUCUGAGGUUUGUUGUUAAAGAAGGGAUGUUAUGGAUGUAUUUAGGCAUAGAAUAGGUGUUGAUAGUUUGAGGAAUGGAAGGAAUGGCGAAAAUUUGAAGGAUGUUGUUAGUAGUGUUGUGUUCUGAGUCAUUUUUCUGAGGAUUGUUGUUAAAGAAGGGAUGUUAUGGGUGUAUUUAGGCAUAGAAUAGGUGUUAAUAGUUUGAGGAAUGGAAGGAAUGGCUAAAAUUUGAAGGAUGUUGUUAGUAGUGUUGUGUUUUGAGGCAUUUUUCUGAGGUUUGUUGUUAAAGAAGGGAUGUUAUGGGUGUAUUAAGGCAAAGAAUAGGUGUUAAUAGUUUGAGGAAUGAAAGGAAUGGCUAAUAUUUGGAGGGAUGGUGGCAUGAGUGUUGUGUUCUGAGGCAUUUUUCUGAGGUUAUCAUAAAAAAACACUACCAUUCCAUCUUCUAAUCCACACAGUAAAAUAUUAAACCCACAUCUCAAGACAUUAUUCAAGGGAGCAUUAGUUAUUGAUGUGCCCGAACAAGCUGUGGAAGAAUAUUAGAGUCACUCAUUCAUAGGUUAUCAUAAAAAAACACUACCAUUCCAUCUUCUAAUCCAGGCAGUAAAAUAUUAAACCCACAUCUCAAGACAUUAUUCAAGGGAGCAUUAACUAUUGAUAUGCCUGAACAAGCUGUGGAAGAAUAUUAGAGUCGCUCAUUCAUAGGUUAUCAUAAAAAAACACUACCAUUCCAUCUUCUAAUCCACACAGUAAAAUAUUAAACCCACAUCUCAAGACAUUAUUCAAGGGAGCAUUAGUUAUUGAUGUGCCCGAACAAGCUGUCAGAGAAUAUUAGAGUCG